AGAACAGCACGUGGGUCCAGGCCCUA
rnacentral:piRNA from 1 species